AGGCCCCUGCCGUGCUCGUGAUCGGUGGAGUUUUUUUGAGCCAACACUUAAUGAUACGGGGACCUUCUCUUGCUUUGGUGAGCAUGUUCUGUGGUUUACAGAAAAGCCUAAAAGAGCAAUAGGGUACCCACCUGUACAAAGAGGUUCAAGAAAAUCUGCCGACACGGCACUGUGGUGGGGGUACC
rfam:Desulfobacterales bacterium S3730MH5 k99_785385, whole genome shotgun sequence.